rnacentral:tRNA from 1 species
GCGGGUGUAGUUCAAUGGUAGAACACAAGCUUCCCAAGCUUGACACGAGGGUUCGAUUCCCUUCACCCGCU